rnacentral:rRNA from 1 species
GACGAACGCUGGCGGCGUGCCUAAUACAUGCAAGUUGAGCGAUGAAGAUUGGUGCUUGCACCAAUUUGAAGAGCAGCGAACGGGUGAGUAACGCGUGGGGAAUCUGCCUUUGAGCGGGGGACAACAUUUGGAAACGAAUGCUAAUACCGCAUAACAACUUUAAACAUAAGUUUUAAGUUUGAAAGAUGCAAUUGCAUCACUCAAAGAUGAUCCCGCGUUGUAUUAGCUAGUUGGUGAGGUAAAGGCUCACCAAGGCGAUGAUACAUAGCCGACCUGAGAGGGUGAUCGGCCACAUUGGGACUGAGACACGGCCCAAACUCCUACGGGAGGCAGCAGUAGGGAAUCUUCGGGAAUGGACGAAAGUCUGACCGAGCAACGCCGCGUGAGUGAAGAAGGUUUUCGGAUCGUAAAACUCUGUUGGUAGAGAAGAACGUUGGUGAGAGUGGAAAGCUCAUCAAGUGACGGUAACUACCCAGAAAGGGACGGCUAACUACGUG